CCCUUGAAUGUGUCUGGCCUCUUCGUGGCUCAAGGGACUAGUAACUGCUCUCGCAGUGAAGCCAACAGACA
rnacentral:ribozyme from 1 species